ACUGGUCUGGAGCUCCUGUCUGAAGCAGCUAAGAAACUGUGCAUAGCAGAUCAAGCAGAAACGCUUGGGAUCGCUAUUGAAAUCGACGAAGAGUACAUUUUUCUUGAGCCCGAUAAGAAAAUUUACAAGUAUGCUCCAACCGGUUGGAAGAAAUGGAAGCCCGGCUCUGGUAGAAAUAUGCCACGAUUUGUAGUACACCUAAGAGUGAUGUAUUUCCCGUUGAAUAUCAGCAUGUUGUCAAUGAGAG